UUAGGUUGUUGGUCGAGUAUGUGACCGGUGGAUUGAACGCUGUGAAGCGGUAUUGACUUCUAUACAUCUACAACUAUACCGAUGUUUCAACUCGCAUAAGAUGAGUGGUGGAAAGUGGAAAAGCAUUGUGAAGUGCAUUAGUAAAAAACAUUCGUGUCAUUAUCUCUUUAUUUAUUUAGUAUUUGUAUUAUAUGUUUCUCCAGUUUUGGACGGAGACACGAUACCAUGAGCACCCCUGCUAUAACAUUGCCAGACGACCCCUGGAACAGGUCUUUGGAAUUGGAAGAAAGUCAGAGCCCUUAGAAGAUACUGUGGUGAUCUAAUCCCUUCUUGACAGCUACAUCGUUCAUGUUGGCUGAACUUUAGGGCAAUAAAUUGGUUAGUCAAAAGAUGAUUUCAGAUCUGCAAGUCAAGCUUCAGAAAAAUGUGAAGCUGUAGCUGAUCUCAAGAAAUUUAUUAAUGCAAGGCACUCAUGGAUGAACAAGAUACCAUGGUGGAUUACUGAGACAAGUGGCUACCAAUCAAAGCCCAAAGAUACAGGUCGAAGUUUCGUGGAUUGUUUGCGAGAUAGAGUUGAGCACGAGCUCUCUUUUAUUCAUAAACAGGUGUAUAUUCUCGAUUGAAUACUACUCCCUCCGAUCCAAAAUAAUGUCACAGUUUUGAACUAAGGUUGAACUAACCUUGGUUCAAAGCCGCGAUACUUAAUUUAGAUUGGAGGGAGUAACUUCUAAAUACAAUUUGUGUAAUUGUGCUUAACUCUCUGCUAUUGUAGGAUCAGCAGAAGUCUAUAGGAUUUAGUCAAAAAUAUGUUGUAGGAUCAGCAGAUCUGGCGUUAAGUGAUGUAGCUUGCACUUGUUCAGUUCUGCUCA